rnacentral:sRNA from 1 species
AUUCACAAAGUGUUGGAUUGUUCACCCACUAACAAGGAACGUGAGCUGGGUUUAGACCGUCGUGAGACAGGUUAGUUUUACCCUACUGUUGUCAAUUGUUUGCGUAAUAGUAGCAUGAUUUAGUACGAGAGGAACUGUCAUGCCGGAUCACUGGUCUGUAGGUUUAUUUGACAAAAUAGUGACCUGCCGCUACCAUCCGUUGGAUAAUGGCUGAACGCCUCUAAGUCAGAAUCCAUUCUAGAAACGCAAACCAAAUGCUUUAGAGUGUGAAUGUUGUAGGUAACAUUAGGUUGUUGGUGGGGGACCACUUUCAACUUUAAACCAUAUGAUUAAUCGCUGUUACACUGCAGUUUCCUUCCGGUUAUUGUGGUGGGUGGCUAAAUUCUAAUUUAUAUCCUCGUUCCGCUCAACUCUUCGAUUGUAGACGACUAUCAAAUGAACUAGGUGCUGUAAGCUUCCGAGUAGCGUUCAGUUACGAGGGGUUGAGGCUUUUCCAUUAGUUCUUUCUUGUAAGAAAAAAGGGGCUUUUUUUUAAUACUAAGGGUAAGUAUCCAAAUUUUUUUUUGGGUGCUUGCCCUUUUUUUUUGACCUUUGAUUUUUCAAAAAAAUCACCAAAGUCAAUUAGUAUGAGGCAAGUCGGCCAUUUGUCCAUAGUAAGC